GGCGCAUUCGUCUAGCGGUUAGGACGUCGCCCUUUCAAGGCGAAAAUCAUCGGUUCGAAUCCGAUAUGCGUCA
rfam:Microgenomates (Levybacteria) bacterium GW2011_GWA2_40_16 TT85_C0040, whole genome shotgun sequence.